GGCCGCGCCGAAGGCCUGGCCGCGGGAGGGGCGGCGGCCGAUGGUUCGCGGGGAGCCGGGGCCUGCGCGCCCUCCCGCUGCCGCCCCUCCAAGGCAGGAGAGCUGGAACUUUCAACAGGCUAAAGGACCCGAGAGCGGCGCUUUCCGUGUUGGGUUCUGAAUUAUUCGUCAACUUUGCAACUAAAGGGAGGGCCUUCGCUCUUCAAAACACUGUAUUUUGUGACGUUUUGGAGUCUCCAUUUAUUUUCGACUUUCUGCUUUUAAGAUGGAACCUCGAGAGGUCACUGAACCCACACUGUUCCUCUCCAGAUUUGCAAACUGAGGCCUGAGAGAGCUGGGACAUGCCCACCACCAACAGAACAGCAUCCAAGUAUGGAAAGCAAGCAGCAGACACGAUUUUCUGGAUGGGUGCCCAGUGAGUGUGCUCCACAUCCAUCAGCUCUGCCAUGGCCUGCCACAGCAGUGCACAGCAAGUGGGGCCUGUGGGGCCAGAGCAAGUGGAGUCUCAUGAGGGGUGGGACCUCAUGAGGGGGCCCCUGCCUGUCCUGCCACCAGGGGAGGACACAGCAAGCAGAGAAGCAGCCCUCCCAGUCCGCACAAAGACAAAUGCUGAAUGGGGGCUCUCUGGGCUUGAGAAAUAACCCGUUUCCACGGAGCCAAGCAGGCUGGCUUUCAAAUCAACCUACCACACAGUCAGAGCGAGGCCACAGCGAGGUUUUACCCAGAUCCAGAUUAGAGUCAUGUUUUACAAGAAGGAAGAUGAGAGUAUUUCAGCUGAAAUGUUGUUCCUGUUUCUACCAUAAUACAAACGACUGUGUCUUUAAACCUCCAUUUUUUUUUCAAUUAGGUAAUUAGUAGCAACAUAAUGAAGGAGUGUUUUUUUUUAACAUUAAAUAUAGGGUAAAAAAAAUCAUAUCAGCGGCCCUUCCAAGCUUAGUUUCAGAAGUGAAUGACUGGGGUCAGGAGCUGACCUGGAAGGGGAAUGGGAAACUUCCUGGCCCAGGCCAUGUGAGCUGAUUAGGUGUUUGGCUUACCCAGGUGUAUAAACCUGUCAAAACUCACUGCAUAAAAUAUUUUAAAUUUG